rnacentral:rRNA from 1 species
UACAGAGGUCUCGAGCGUUAGACGGAUUCAUUGGGCUUAAAGCGUACGUAGGCGGGCGUGCAGGCGCUGUGUGAAAGCCCUCGGCUCAACCGAGGAAUUGCACGGCGAACCGCACGUCUUGAGACAAGUAGGGGCGGCCGGAACGAUAGGUGGAGUGGUGAAAUGCGUUGAUAUCUAUCGGAACGCCAAUGGUGAAGACAGGCCGCUGGGCUUGUUCUGACGCUGAGGUACGAAAGCGUGGGUAGCGAACGGG